rnacentral:rRNA from 1 species
AAAAACGACUCUCGGCAACGGAUAUCUCGGCUCUUGCAUCGAUGAAGAACGUAGCGAAAUGCGAUACUUGGUGUGAAUUGCAGAAUCCCGUGAACCAUCGAGUCUUUGAACGCAAGUUGCGCCCAAAGCCAUUUGGUUGAGGGCACGCCUGCCUGGGUGUCGCG